rnacentral:SRP_RNA from 1 species
CUCGGCAAGGCUGCGCGACCAGAUCCUCCGAACUCCGUCAGGUCCGAAAGGAAGCAGCGGUAAGGAGUUGAUCGGUGUGAUGCGGUUCUUGCCUUUUUU